rnacentral:rRNA from 1 species
GCCCCUAAGACGAGGCAGAGAUGCGUAGUUGAUGGGAAACAGGUCAAUAUUCCUGUACCGAUGUGUAGUGCGAUGUGGGGACGGAGAAGGUUAACUCAGCCAACUGUUGGAUAUGUUGGUUCAAGCUUGUAGUCGUGCCUGGUAGGUAAAUCCGCCGGGCUUAGAUGAGGAGUGAUAACGAGGCUGCUUGCAGCCGAAGUGAGUGAUACCCUGCUUCCAGGAAAAGCCACUAAGCUUCAGCUACACACGACCGUACCGCAAACCGACACUGGUGCGCGAGAUGAGUAUUCUAAGGCGCUUGAGAGAACUCAGGAGAAGGAACUCGGCAAAUUGACACCGUAACUUCGGAAGAAGGUGUGCCUUUAGUAGGUGAAGGGAUUUACUCCUGGAGCCCAAUGAGGUUGCAAAAAAUCGGUGGCUGCGACUGUUUAUUAAAAACACAGCACUCUGCAAACACGAAAGUGGACGUAUAGGGUGUGACGCCUGCCCGGUGCUGGAAGAUUAAAUGAUGGGGUGCAAGCUCUUGAUUGAAGUCCCAGUAAACGGCGGCCGUAACAAUAACGGUCCUAAGGUAGCGAAAUUCCUUGUCGGGUAAGUUCCGACCUGCACGAAUGGCGUAACGAUGGCCACACUGUCUCCUCCUGAGACUCAGAGAAGUUGAAAUGUUUGUGAUGAUGCAAUCUCCCCGCGGAAAGACGGAAAGACCCCAUGAACCUUUACUGUAGCUUUGUAUUGGACUUUGAACAGAUCUGUGUAGGAUAGGUGGGAGGCUUUGAAGUAGGGUCGCUAGAUCUUAUGGAGCCAACGUUGAAAUACCACCCUGGUGUGUUUGAGGUUCUAACCUAGGUCCAUUAUCUGGAUCGGGGACAGUGCAUGGUAGGCAGUUUGACUGGGGCGGUCUCCUCCCAAAGCGUAACGGAGGAGUUCGAAGGUACGCUAGUUACGGUCGGACAUCGUGACGAUAGUGCAAUGGCAUAAGCGUGCUUAACUGCGAGACUGACAAGUCGAGCAGAUGCGAAAGCAGGACAUAGUGAUCCGGUGGUUCUGUAUGGAAGGGCCAACGCUCAACGGAUAAAAGGUACUCUGGGGAUAACAGGCUGAUACCGCCCAAGAGUUCAUAUCGACGGCGGUGUUUGGCACCUCGAUGUCGGCUCAUCUCAUCCUGGGGCUGUAGCCGGUCCCAAGGGUAUGGCUGUUCGCCAUUUAAAGAGGUACGUGAGCUGGGUUUAAAACGUCGUGAGACAGUUUGGUCCCUAUCUUCCGUGGGCGCUGCAGAUUUGAGGAAGCCUGCUCCUAGUACGAGAGGACCGGAGUGGACACACCUCUGGUGUAUCGGUUGUCACGCCAGUGGCAUUGCCGAGUAGCUAAGUGUGGAAGAGAUAACCGCUGAAAGCAUCUAAGCGGGAAACUCGUUUCAAGAUGAGAUCUGCCGGGGCCUUGAGCCCCCUAAAGAGUCGUUCAAGACCAGGACGUUGAUAGGUCAGGUGUGGAAGCGCAGUAAUGCGUUAAGCUAACUGAUACUAAUUGCUCGUGCGGCUUGACCCU